rnacentral:rRNA from 1 species
UUAAAUUGAAGAGUUUGAUCAUGGCUCAGAUUGAACGCUGGCGGCAGGCCUAACACAUGCAAGUCGAACGGUAACAGGAAUCAGCUUGCUGAUUCGCUGACGAGUGGCGGACGGGUGAGUAAUGUCUGGGAAACUGCCUGAUGGAGGGGGAUAACUACUGGAAACGGUAGCUAAUACCGCAUAACGUCGCAAGACCAAAGAGGGGGACCUUCGGGCCUCUUGCCAUCGGAUGUGCCCAGAUGGGAUUAGCUAGUAGGUGGGGUAACGGCUCACCUAGGCGACGAUCCCUAGCUGGUCUGAGAGGAUGACCAGCCACACUGGAACUGAGACACGGUCCAGACUCCUACGGGAGGCAGCAGUGGGGAAUAUUGCACAAUGGGCGCAAGCCUGAUGCAGCCAUGCCGCGUGUAUGAAGAAGGCCUUCGGGUUGUAAAGUACUUUCAGCGGGGAGGAAGGGAGUAAAGUUAAUAC